AUACUAUAGAAAACUUGCUUAUAACACCGUAUUACUUGAUAUAUGGUAUUACUAUGGAAUCCUCUACUAUAAGAUGGUUAGACCCCUGAGAGGGUGUGCUUUGUGGGAUUUAGUUCAGAGUAUCAACAACUGAGAGAUGAGAAUGAGCAGGUCAGCCAUUGUUCAGCAGCCAUGUCAGAACGUAGAGUGUUAGAGCUACUUUACACGUGUCUGGUUGCAGAUGGUGACCUACACCGCGUUCAGACUCUUCCCCUCGCCAGUGCCUAGGCUAAAGCUGCCUACCACCAGGUUCCAGCAGUACAGACACACUACAACCGACUGGUGGACAACAUGAGCCAGGACUCAAGCCAGGUAAUACAGACAGAGCUGUAUGACCAAGCAGUUGGUUAAUGUGAACCAAAGAUUCUAGUACAGUAAAGUCCCAUUGAAAUCUGUAGAUUACUAAGGGGCUUGAUCUCUGCACAAUGUAAGGAUGUGCUCCUAUCUUCCCAGCACUAUCACAGUGGAUGAUUUCACUGCCAGGUUGUUCAGGUAAGGUAUUGCUCUGUCACACAAAAAAUUUAUGUUGAUGAAUUUUCUCAUGCAAGUUUCCAGUCCAUAGCUUUGGGUCUGAAUUGCUCAGACUACAUGCUGAAGCAAAGUGGGGAUGGGAGCCCCCUUGAAGCAGAUAGCAGAUAGGGAUUAACACCAUUGCUGCCGGUGGCUGUGGUGUUUCUGCCCGCACACCGACGUCCACCGGCAACAUCCUGAAGAGGGCUGGUCAGUUGGAGAAAAGCAAACAUAUCCUAGACAACAACCCUCCUGCAGGUCUGGCACAAGACCUGGGACCUCUACGGCUCAGAGAAGGAAGUUGUCAUGUUUCUGGUUGAAGAGUUCCAAAGAAGCAUCUUUGGCCGUAGAUAUACUGAGAACGAUCUAUGGAACAAGUAAGUUUGGUUGUAUUCCUUGGUGCUUAUUAGUCAAGUGAAUCGUUAUC